rnacentral:rRNA from 1 species
GACAGAGGGGGCAGCGUGCUCGGAAUCACUGGGCGUAAAGGGCGCGUAGGCGGGAUGGCAAGUCAGUCGUGAAAUCUCUCGGCUCAACCGAGAAACGUCGGCUGAUACUGCCGUUCUUGAGGGAUGCAGAGGAGACUGGAAUUCCCGGUGUAGCGGUGAAAUGUGUAGAGAUCGGGAGGAACACCGGUGGCGAAGGCGGGUCUCUGGGCAUCUCCUGACGCUGAGGAGCGAAAGCGUGGGGAGCGAACAGG